GGGUGUCACACAUGGGGUGGGGCAGGUUUGUGCGAUGGUCGGGCCGCCACG
rnacentral:ncRNA from 2 species